UGGGGCUUACAGCUUUCUGCUUGGAGACUAUGUGGCGCUGGCAUAGGGCAGGCCGGAAGUUGAAUGACCCUCCAACUGUUGAAUAAUGGCCUGUGGCCAACCUGAGAACUAGUGAGAACUGAACAAACAGUGUGCUUCCUCUCCUCCUCUCUAGUGAGACAACUCACACAGCACAACCUGCCUCUAGAUUACAAGGCUCUAAGUGUCCCACCCACUUGCUCUGGGACUUGAAGUCACAGCUAAGUGCACUGACUUCACACCUUUCAGGGACAACCAUGUAGAUAAAUUGUUCACACCACACUGAUACUAUGACAUCGAUGUGUACUUAUAUUUAAUACCAAAAUGAUUGCAUUAAGGUUUGGUAUUUACUGACCAAAUCUGGUUUGCUAUCGUGCAGUAUUCUUAAGUUGCCAAGCCACAGUGUUUCGCAGCAAGUGAGGUGGACUUGAAUGGCUAUCAGAGGCAGGGCAGCUACAGAGGACUUUCUCUGCUGUGCACUUUUUCUUGGAAAGAAAAGGCUGGCCCUUCCACCACACUGGGAACACUGGACUUCCAAAGGCUCUGUUAAUGGCAAAGAGGAAAUCGGGACUUGUACAGAAAACUUGCCUGGGUCACAAAUUUAAUUGAUGAAUACACAAAGCACCUUGGGAACAAAGAAAACCCUAAUAGAGGAGGGAAUUACACAUCAACAGAAAACAUUGCUUAUCAUGCCGUGGCAGCUCCUUAAAAGUCCCUCAUGGAAUCACAAGACUACUACUCUUGCCUCCCAAAGCCAGGGUCCUGUGUUUCAUCCAUAAUACUAAAGGAGGGGAAAAAGAAGCCACACAAACAUAUUAUCUUUCUUCUCAAUGACAUCAGGACUCAAACACAGGCAAGAAGCAGAAUGUAGGUGGCACAGAGAAUUGAGUGACAACCAGCAUUCAUAAGGUCCUCAGAUGUAGACUGUAAGAACCACAACAAUGACCAGCAUGGCAUGAUAAUCUUCAGGGUAAGUAGUGGCAUGCAUACCUUGGCAGUAACUAACAGCCUUCCAAUUCAACUUAAGACCUCCUCAAAAAGGAAAUCAUGCCUGGUAAUAGAAACCUCACCAACUAUCAAAAAGUCAUCAGUCUUAGAAGAGAACCUAUAACUGUCACUUUACUAAAACAGCACAAUCCCCAGCUACAUUCUAAAUAUUCGCCCUUCUGACCACAAGUAAGUACAGUCCUCACCCUGCAUCAAGAAGACAUCUCUUUGCAACAGAUGGAGAUCAUAUCCAAUAAAAAUAAAAUGCAGAGCUGCAGAACCAAGUCCCACUGAGUUGCAGGGCUGAGCCCCAGUGGAUGCAUCUACAAAAUAAUUCCCACACCUAAACCUCAGAAAACAUUGUGGAAGGGGCGCAGAAUGAUUGUAAGAGUGGAAGGACCAGGAAGUUUGCUGUGAGAUUGUGUCUCCUGAGAAUGUCAGAAGUUACAAGUUUCACUUGUAAGGUCUCACCAACAUGACUGCCUACAUGCAAGCUGAACAAGGAUGACAACAGACAUGCUGACGUGAAUGGGGGAACGCUCAAGAGGCCUCAACACGACACAAAGUACAGUCAACUAAGAAAUACUGAAAGUAGGGGAAAUAGUCUUUCCCAAGGAAGAGCACACCAAGUGAUUAUCCAAUAUCAAAUGGUCCGCCCUGAAAACAUGAAUACAAGUAACACUAUACAGAAGUCAGGUUGUGUUUAUGUAUUUUUAGAAAUUCAUAUACAUAUAUGUAUGUCACAAUAAUGAACAGGGGAAAGGGGCCAUGCACUUGAAAGAAAGUCAGGAGGAGAACAUGGGGUGGUUAGGAGGGGUGUAAAUGGUGUAAUUAUCAUCUCAAAAUUAAAAGAAAUAGUUUUUUCAUUCCUCAUUAUGAAAUUGAGCAAACAAUUAAGAAAGCCAUGCUGGGUUGACUCAAAGCUCUACUAUCCAAAGGUAGAAAAACCAGAACAGGGAUAGGCAGGACUCACAUAAGAAUUUAAGAAGUUCUUUUCUCAGUGUUAAGACUUUUCUUAGGAGGGUCCCUCCACAAACCUCAUAAACUAUAACUGAGGAGAUAUCCAAAAUUUGGGCAACAGUACAGUAUAGUCAGAAGUUUUCCUGUGUCCCGCCUGGCCCAUGAUCAAGACAAAUCUCUCACCCACAG